GGUAGUGGAAUCGGAGGCAUGAAGGAGACCCAGGAAAUGAUUGAUUUUGCAGCAAAACACAACAUAACGGCGGAGGUUGAAGUUAACUCAAUGGAUUACGUGAACACAGCAAUGGAGCGUCUUGCUAAGAAUGAUGUAAGAUGAUGCGAGAAAUAUAAGCACACUCAAAUUAAACCCUCUUUUUGACAAUUGUAGCAAAGUAUGUAAGUAGGGAUCGUUCUAAACCGGGGAUUAGGAGGGCUUGCUAAAACCUCUAAACUGACUCAAAAACAAAAAGAAACAAAGUUAAAAAUGUAAACAAAAGAUUUUAAAACAAGAAAGUAAAAGGGGGAUUUGAGUUUGGUGAAGUUGAAAGUAAAAACGAAUAAACUAAAAACUUAAAUAGAUUUUAAACAAAUUUGGGUUGAAUGGAUAAUGGAAGGCUAGCUAAGGGGUUCUUCUCCACACAUGUCUUGCUUGCAUACAAAAUGAUUUCCAAUUGCUCUUCGAUAAGUUAUGAAUACUCAAUGCCCCAAAUUAACCGUGAAUUGCACUAAUUAACUCUCAGUUUUUUCAACAAGUUAUUAGAUUGGAUGAUUGCAUACGACAACCCAAAACAUUCCCUACAAGUUCCCUACAUGAAUUGCAUAAUAGAGAUACAAGCAAGAAUCAUUAAGUUCUAUGAAAAACAUAAGCAUUGACGAGGCACUCGUUACUAUGAUUUGCAUGAAACUUAUGCCAAGAAUUUACUUAACGUGAUUGUGACUAGCAACCUUCACUACUUGUGAAUAUAAGUUCAUAACGAUUAGGUGAAACUCCCUUAUAUUCUAGCGUCAAAUUCAUGCAUGAAAAUUAAGCGUGCACUCUCAACCAACAUACACAAAUUAGUUUUUAUACGAACGGAUAAGUAAAUUGAAUUCACAAUUCAAGAAACGCAAUUGGAAGUAAUCAAAUCAUAUAGCAAGCAUAAACAUGGUUUUGAAUCCCCCCCUAGCCAAGGGGGGUUUAGUUCCUCAUUAUUACAAAACAAAGAUAAACAAAUUUAACCAUUGAAAAACAAAGGGAAGAAAGCACCUAAACGUUCCAACGAUCCAUGUUGGAUAGCAAGCGCGUCCAAGGACUUUUCUCCUUCUCCUUGCCGCCACAACAAGGUUGGAAUGAUGUUGAAGGGUUGGUUAUUUGGAGGAAUGGAUGGGAAGGGGUUUAGAUAUGUAGGAGAGGCAAGGAAAGGCUUGGAGAAUGGUUAAUUUCUGGAUGAUUUGAAUGAGGUUGCUGCCAUGGUAUUUAUAGGAAGAGGAUGGACAUGUUUAAUGCAAAAAUCUAGUGGAAUGAAGUAGGUAAGGCAUGGCAAGGUGGAGAAUUGUUGGUGAGGGUAGGUUUUGAGUCAUCCACUCACAUGUCAUGGUGAGUUAAGCAUUGCAUCAUCCACUCAAAUGUCAUGGUGAGUUAAGCAUUACAUCAUCCACUCAAAUGUCAUAGUGAGAUAGGCAUUGCAUCAUUACUAAAAAAUCUGGUGGAAGUAAAACAAAGGGAAGGCCACGGCAUUGAUGAAUUUUAUGGGGUAUGCAUGGGUUUGAGUGAAGUUUUGGCCAAUCCUUCUAGAAAUUUAUCCCUUCUUGCAACUUGUAUUUGUUUCACCAGAUUUUUAGCAUGUUCCUAGCCUCUUUUGUCUUCAAAUUCGUCCAUCCGUCUUGCUCAUAUCAUAUGUAAUCCAUUACAAGCUCAAAACUGCUCCAAAAUGCACCAAAAUGCACUUUCUUGCUACCUUAGCCCUUUGGACCUACAAACACACGAAAAUGGCUUAAAGUACUAAAAUAACUAAGAACUAAUAACGUAAAUGCAAGAAAACUAGUUAACUAAGUCGCAUAAAUAUGCGUCUAUCAUAAGAUACCGAUUUGUCAUUGAUGUUGCAAACACACUGGCUGCUAGCGAAGCUUGAAGACUCAAGAAGGGGAAUAAUGAAAGUUGUUCUAAGGUCUUAAGUAACUACAUUUCAUCCACGUAGGUUGAUUUGUGCCUGGCACGUUUAUUUUGUUUGUAUUGGCCAUUUAAUAUUUCAAAUAAGAAAGUAUAUGGGACGACGCCACCAGUCUAAAUCACGCCUAAACUUUGACAUAUGAGCUAUUUAAGCCGAAUUCUAUCAUUUACCUGUUUUAUUAGCAUUAUGAUUUUCCAAGUUUUUCAGUAUUUUGUUAUUGGUGUAAUUCGUUUCGUAUUUGAACUCCUAAAAAAUCUAGAGUUGACCGGCAUUUUUAAAUCUCCUUUAAGACGCUAUGGUGUAUUAUCUUUCAUAUUUUCAAUCAAUAAAUUUUGAGAUUAUCUUAUAUUUUCAGUAAAUUUCAAUUUACUUUUUUCUCUGUGAAUUUCAAUUUACUUUUUUCUUUGUGAAUUUCAAUUUACUAAUUUUUUAGAGUAAUUUUUGCAAGGAUAAUCUAUGAAUCAAGACUUUCAAAAUAAGAGGUUUGGAUUGUUGAAGUUCGAUGUAGAGUGAGUCCCUGUUGACUCUAAAAACUAGCAAGCCUACGUGGCGCAUAAGCCGAGUAAUUAAUAAGCUAAGUACGUCAUUCAGUUAACUGCGGGGUUUGCCAACUAUUCGGCUGAGUUCGGCUGGGG
rnacentral:lncRNA from 1 species